CUAUUAUUAGUAAAGAGUAGUAGUUAAGACAUUUCUACGAUAGGGUAUCUAUUCAUUUCUUUGGUAUCAAGUAUCAACACAUGGAGUAUAAAAUUCUCUGCUUGGCUCAUAUUCUUGAUAACUCUCUUUCUCUUACAUUUUCAAAGUUCCAUUACUAAAUUCUGAGAGAUCAAUAGAGCAACCAAUGAACGUGAAGAUAACAGGGAUGUAGCCGUGUCUGUGAUUGUGUGGCUUUGCUAAGCUCUUUCUGCCCAUUAACUCCAAGCCAGUGUUUGCUCUAAUUUACGAAAGUAAGAUGGAGCUAUAUCCAAGUCCGGGAAUGAGGGCACUUUCAAAUCCGCCACGCUGGCCACGAGGGCCAGGCAAGCAUUCCCCUGCUUCCCCAGAUGUUGAUGAUCACGUUGCUCCUCCUCCAUAAGAGAGGACUUUGACGUUUCUCCUCCUCCCUUAAAUGAUUGACUAUGCAGUUCCUCCGGGCGAUCACUGUAGUUAAUAAAGUUAAAGACAUAUAGAACUCAAGGGCCUAAUCUAGAAUGAUAUCAAGUAUAUAUGAUCUUUUAGUUAUAUAUGGUCUUUUAGUUAAUACGAUGAGCAGUAUACAUUGAAUAUAGAGUCUUUAUGUAAUAGUCUUUAUCAUUUGAUCCUGUUACUUAUAAACUGGUUAAGGAUCUUUUAAGAAAACACACAGG